CCUUGUGUAGCCUACUUGGCUGUUCUAGUCUCACCCUCUACCUGCAUUCUCUCUACCUGUCAUUACCCCUUAUUGUGUGCAGGUGUGCUGGCGUCUGCGAGUGGGCCUGCCUAUAAAAGCCGCCUUUUCCAACAUGGCCGCAGCUCGAUCUCGGAUCACACGCUGUUUACAGACCGAUUCAGAUACAGAUUCUAUUCUCGCCGGUCCGUUACUCUGCUCACAAAUUGUCUUUUCUUUUCCUCGUUUUUCGAAACUGACCAUUGUAACUGGUGACGGGCCGGUGAAUUUUUUUGUUUGUUUUCCCACGUUAGAAUAGCUGGAUGUUAGUGUAGAAGGUAAGCCGUGCGGAAGACUCACGCAUUUUUAUUUCGAGGAUGUAAGAUAGUAUUUGCUUAAAACUAUUAGAAGGUUAGGAAGCUUGCUAGAAUCUGUUUUUAGUUAUUUAUUACUGUGCUUUCGAAGCAUUGGCAUCGUUGCUGAAGUCUCAGUUCGUCCAAAAUAAAUUAACAUUUAUAUUUUUCUUAUUCCUGACUCCUGGGCCUUUCUUAUGUUGUGUUUCCAUUUUCAUAUUUUAUUGGAUUCAUAACAAGCACUCAUCUGAAAUAACUUCUCCACUUU